rnacentral:tRNA from 1 species
GGGCUCAUGGUCUAGUGGUUAUGACGUCUCCUUGACGUGGAGGAGGCCGCCAGUUCGAAUCUGGCUGGGCCCA